UACGUAGGUGGCAAGCGUUGUCAGGAAUUAUUGGGCGUAAAGCGCGCGCAGGCGGUCCUUUAAGUCUGAUGUGAAAGCCCACGGCUCAACCGUGGAGGGUCAUUGGAAACUGGGGGACUUGAGUGCAGGAGAGAAGAGUGGAAUUCCACGUGUAGCGGUGAAAUGCGUAGAGAUCCGGAGGAACACCAGUGGCGAAGGCGACACGCUGGGCCGUACCUGACGCUAAAGCGCGACAGCAUGGGGAGCAAACGGG
rnacentral:rRNA from 1 species